CACUCCUACGGGAGGCAGCAGUCGGGGAAUAUUGCACAAUGGGGGAAACCCUGAUGCAGCCAUGCCGCGUGUGUGAAGAAGGCCUUCGGGUUGUAAAGCACUUUCAGUAGGGAGGAAGGUAGUGUAGUUAACACCUGCACUAUUUGACGUUACCUACAGAAGAAGCACCGGCUAACUCCGUGCCAGCAGCCGCGGUAAUACGGAGGGUGCGAGCGUUAAUCGGAAUUACUGGGCGUAAAGCGCAUGCAGGCGGCCUGUUAAGUCAGAUGUGAAAGCCCCGGGGCUUAACCUCGGAAUUGCAUUUGAAACUGGCAGGCUAGAGUCUUGUAGAGGGGGUAGAAUUUCAGGUGUAGCGGUGAAAUGCGUAGAGAUCUGAAGGAAUACCAGUGGCGAAGGCCGGCCCCCUGGACAAAGACUGACGCUCAGAUGCGAAAGCGUGGGGAGCAAACAGGAUUAGAUACCCUGGUAG
rnacentral:rRNA from 1 species